rnacentral:tRNA from 1 species
GCCUUCGUGGUGUAGUGAUCAGCACGCUCGACGCGUAUUCGAGAGGUCCGUGGUUCAAGUCCCGGUGAGAGCA